UGAGAUGUUCCCCAAGCACGACAGCGAAUAUGUGCUCUGCCUGCUUGCUCACUGUUGUUUGUGCUGGAAAGAACCCGGGCCCAGCCCAGAGCCACGUUGCAGGGCUCAGGACUGCUCUGAAACACUGCCACCUCGUGGGGUGAUGAGGGUUCUGUAGCCCAGGAGUCCUUCUAGCAUGUGGGGACUCUCGGGACCUGUCAAACCAAGAGGGAGAGCCAACUCCUAGAGACCUGGAGGCUUCUAGUACUUCAGGACAGACAAUGGGUCUGAAAUUCUUACUUGGGGCCAUAUGGAUUGGCCGUGCAGGGAGGAAAUUAUAUCUGGCUCUCUGUUUCUGCUCAACUCUUCCCACUGGGUAAGUGGGCCCUUUGAAGUGGCACUUGCCUUACCUCACGUUCUGACAGGAAUGACUGAUCGCCUUUCAGUCCACACAAGAUAAGGAGCCGUGUCUCAAAACUGCGGAGCUGUCUUAACUAAACAAUAGCGAACCACCCAGAGCACUCUUCCAAGACGGGAGAGAAUUCCCCACAUGUGUUAAGCAUUUUAUUCUUCCCAAACGCUUUACUCUGUAUUAUUGUGUUAAAUUGGAUAAUGUCGACAUGAAAGGGCUGUGUCAAUUGUAUCAGAUAACAAAAAAGUAAGAUUUUUGU
rnacentral:lncRNA from 1 species